UACAGAGGUCCCAAGCGUUGUUCGGAUUCACUGGGCGUAAAGGGUGCGUGGGUGGCCUGGAAAGUUUGAUGUGAAAGCUCGGAGCUUAACUCCGAAAUGGCAUUGAAUACUACUGGGCUUGAGGGUCGGAGGGGAGACUGGAAUUUACGGUGUAGCAGUGAAAUGCGUAGAGAUCGUAAGGAAGACCAGUGGCGAAGGCGGGUCUCUGGACAGUUCCUGACACUGAGGCACGAAGGCCAGGGGAGCAAACGGG
rnacentral:rRNA from 1 species